UGGGGAAUAUUGCACAAUGGAGGGAACUCUGAUGCAGCGACGCCGCGUGAACGAAGAAGGCUUUCGAGUCGUAAAGUUCUUUUAUAUGGGAAGAUAAUGACGGUACCAUAAGAAAAAGCCCCGGCUAACUACGUGCCAGCAGCCGCGGUAAUACGUAGGGGGCUAGCGUUGUCCGGAAUCACUGGGCGUAAAGGGUUCGCAGGCGGAAAUGCAAGUCAGGUGUAAAAGGCAGUAGCUUAGCUACUGUAAGCAUUUGAAACUGCAUAUCUUGAGAAGAGUAGAGGUAAGUGGAAUUUUUAGUGUAGCGGUGAAAUGCGUAGAUAUUAAAAAGAAUACCGGUGGCGAAGGCGGCUUACUGGGCUCAUUCUGACGCUGAGGAACGAAAGCGUGGGUAGCAAACAGG
rnacentral:rRNA from 1 species